UACGGAGGGUGCAAGCGUUAUCCGGAUUCACUGGGUUUAAAGGGUGCGUAGGCGGGUCGGUAAGUCAGUGGUGAAAUCUUCAAGCUUAACUUGGAACUGCCGUUGAUACUAUCAAUCUUGAAUAUUGUGGAGGUAAGCGGAAUAUGUCAUGUAGCGGUGAAAUGCUUAGAUAUGACAUAGAACACCGAUAGCGAAGGCAGCUUGCUACACAGUAAUUGACGCUGAGGCACGAAAGCGUGGGGAUCAAACAGG
rnacentral:rRNA from 1 species